GACAGAGGUGCCGAGCGUUAGGCGGAAUCACUGGGCUUAAAGCGUGUGUAGGCGGGUCCGUAAGUACCUUGUGAAAUCCCACGGCUUAACCGUGGAACUGCUUGGUAUACUGCGGGUCUUGAGCCCCUUAGAGGCAACCGGAACAAACGGUGGAGCGGUGAAAUGCGUAGAUAUCGUUUGGAACGCCAAUGGUGAAAACAGGUUGCUGGGAGUGUGCUGACGCUGAGACACGAAAGCCAGGGGAGCAAACGGG
rnacentral:rRNA from 1 species